rnacentral:rRNA from 1 species
AAAUUGAAGAGUUUGAUCAUGGCUCAGAUUGAACGCUGGCGGCAGGCCUAACACAUGCAAGUCGAGCGGUAGCACAGAGAGCUUGCUCUCGGGUGACGAGCGGCGGACGGGUGAGUAAUGUCUGGGAAACUGCCUGAUGGAGGGGGAUAACUACUGGAAACGGUAGCUAAUACCGCAUAACGUCGCAAGACCAAAGUGGGGGACCUUCGGGCCUCAUGCCAUCAGAUGUGCCCAGAUGGGAUUAGCUAGUAGGUGGGGUAAUGGCUCACCUAGGCGACGAUCCCUAGCUGGUCUGAGAGGAUGACCAGCCACACUGGAACUGAGACACGGUCCAGACUCCUACGGGAGGCAGCAGUGGGGAAUAUUGCACAAUGGGCGCAAGCCUGAUGCAGCCAUGCCGCGUGUGUGAAGAAGGCCUUCGGGUUGUAAAGCACUUUCAGCGGGGAGGAAGGCGAUAAGGUUAAUAACCUUGUCGAUUGACGUUACCCGCAGAAGAAGCACCGGCUAACUCCGUGCCAGCAGCCGCGGUAAUACGGAGGGUGCAAGCGUUAAUCGGAAUUACUGGGCGUAAAGCGCACGCAGGCGGUCUGUCAAGUCGGAUGUGAAAUCCCCGGGCUCAACCUGGGAACUGCAUUCGAAACUGGCAGGCUAGAGUCUUGUAGAGGGGGGUAGAAUUCCAGGUGUAGCGGUGAAAUGCGUAGAGAUCUGGAGGAAUACCGGUGGCGAAGGCGGCCCCCUGGACAAAGACUGACGCUCAGGUGCGAAAGCGUGGGGAGCAAACAGGAUUAGAUACCCUGGUAGUCCACGCCGUAAACGAUGUCGAUUUGGAGGUUGUGCCCUUGAGGCGUGGCUUCCGGAGCUAACGCGUUAAAUCGACCGCCUGGGGAGUACGGCCGCAAGGUUAAAACUCAAAUGAAUUGACGGGGGCCCGCACAAGCGGUGGAGCAUGUGGUUUAAUUCGAUGCAACGCGAAGAACCUUACCUGGUCUUGACAUCCACAGAACUUUCCAGAGAUGGAUUGGUGCCUUCGGGAACUGUGAGACAGGUGCUGCAUGGCUGUCGUCAGCUCGUGUUGUGAAAUGUUGGGUUAAGUCCCGCAACGAGCGCAACCCUUAUCCUUUGUUGCCAGCGGUCCGGCCGGGAACUCAAAGGAGACUGCCAGUGAUAAACUGGAGGAAGGUGGGGAUGACGUCAAGUCAUCAUGGCCCUUACGACCAGGGCUACACACGUGCUACAAUGGCAUAUACAAAGAGAAGCGACCUCGCGAGAGCAAGCGGACCUCAUAAAGUAUGUCGUAGUCCGGAUUGGAGUCUGCAACUCGACUCCAUGAAGUCGGAAUCGCUAGUAAUCGUAGAUCAGAAUGCUACGGUGAAUACGUUCCCGGGCCUUGUACACACCGCCCGUCACACCAUGGGAGUGGGUUGCAAAAGAAGUAGGUAGCUUAACCUUCGGGAGGGCGCUUACCACUUUGUGAUUCAUGACUGGGGUGAAGUCGUAACAAGGUAACCGUAGGGGAACCUGCGGUUGGAUCACCUCCUUA